rnacentral:lncRNA from 1 species
AAUCCCUCACAGCGCGUGUAAAACACAAAAAUACCCCUCCAUUAGCGAUCUCACGGAAAACGGUACAUAAAAUAUUGCGACUUUUGCGAAAUUACCGAUUUGCCAACACCGACCUCUCCUCGAUCAACGCGCGAUCUCUGCAGAUCCGUCCGUCAGAUUUGUGAACGGAUUGCACCAUUGCGAUCAGCACCUCGGAGACAACAAAGCUACACCUUCGAUUCAUCUCGAUCGACCACGGAUUCACGACAAAAUCCAACCUUUUUCCAAUAGAAGGAAACACUCACGCACAAAUACAUAUAAAACAU